GUUAUAUGGUCAAGCAAUUAAGCGCAUACGGUGGAUGCCUUGGCAGCUAGAGGCGAUGAAGGACGUGGUAACCUGCGAUAAGGUUCGGUGAGGCGGUAAACAGCCUUUGACCCGGACAUUUCCGAAUGGGGCAACCCGGCAUCAUAAGAUGUCAUCGUGCACUGAAUACAUAGGUGUACGAAGCAAACGCGGGGAACUGAAACAUCUAAGUACCCGUAGGAAAAGAAAUCAAUUGAGAUUCCGUCAGUAGCGGCGAGCGAACGCGGAUUAGCCCUUAAGCAUUAUUGUAGAUAAGAGAAGGCUCUGGAAAGUGCCGCCAUAGUGGGUGAUAGCCCCGUAUCUGAAAUCUUAGAUGGUGUGAAAUCGAGUAGGUCGGGACACGUGUUAUCUUGACUGAAUAUGGGGGGACCAUCCUCCAAGGCUAAAUACUCCUAGCUGACCGAUAGUGAACCAGUACCGUGAGGGAAAGGCGAAAAGAACCCCGGAGAGGGGAGUGAAAUAGAUCCUGAAACCGUAUGCGUACAAGCAGUGGGAGCAGACUUGUUCUGUGACUGCGUACCUUUUGUAUAAUGGGUCAGCGACUUAAUUUUAGUAGCGAGCUUAACCGAAUAGGGGAGGCGUAGGGAAACCGAGUCUUAAUAGGGCGCAUAGUUGCUAGGAUUAGACCCGAAACCGGGCGAUCUAGCCAUGGCCAGGUUGAAGGUUGAGUAACAUCAACUGGAGGACCGAACCCACGUCUGUUGAAAAAGACGGGGAUGAGCUGUGGCUCGGAGUGAAAGGCUAAUCAAGCCCGGAGAUAGCUGGUUCUCCUCGAAAGCUAUUUAGGUAGCGCGUCAUGUAUUGCCACUGGGGGUAGAGCACUGUUUCGGCUAGGGGGUCAUCCCGACUUACCAACCCGAUGCAAACUCCGAAUACCAGUGAGUAUGAGCAUGGCAGACACACGGCGGGUGCUAACGUUCGUCGUGGAAAGGGAAACAACCCAGACCGUCAGCUAAGGUCCCCAAGUGCUAGUUAAGUGGGAAACGAUGUGGGAAGGCUUAGACAGCUAGGAGGUUGGCUUAGAAGCAGCCAUCCUUUAAAGAAAGCGUAAUAGCUCACUAGUCGAGUCGGCCUGCGCGGAAGAUGUAACGGGGCUCAAACUAGCCACCGAAGCUACGGGUUCAUCUUAGGAUGAGCGGUAGAGGAGCGUUCUGUAAGCCGUUGAAGGUGAUUCGAGAGGGUUGCUGGAGGUAUCAGAAGUGCGAAUGCUGACAUGAGUAACGAUAAUGGGGGUGAAAAACCCCCACGCCGGAAGACCAAGGUUUCCUGUCCCAUGCUAAUCAGGGCAGGGUGAGUCGACCCCUAAGGCGAGGCAGAAAUGCGUAGUCGAUGGGAAACAGGUUAAUAUUCCUGUACCUCUUAUUAUUGCGAUGGAGAGACGGAGAAGGUUAGGCCAGCGCGGCGUUGGUUGUCCGCGUUUAAGCGUGUAGGCUGAGAGUUUAGGCAAAUCCGGACUCUUAAGGCUGAGGCGUGAUGACGAGCACUCAUUUAUGAGAGCGAAGUGGUUGAUACCCUGCUUCCAAGAAAAUCUUCUAAGCUUCAGGUAAUAAGGGAUCGUACCCCAAACCGACACAGGUGGUCAGGUAGAGAAUACCAAGGCGCUUGAGAGAACUCGGGUGAAGGAACUAGGCAAAAUGGUACCGUAACUUCGGGAGAAGGUACGCCACUGACGGUGAAGCAUUUACUGCGUAAGCUGUUGGUGGUCGAAGUAACCAGGUGGCUGCGACUGUUUAUUAAAAACACAGCACUCUGCAAACACGUAAGUGGACGUAUAGGGUGUGACGCCUGCCCGGUGCUGGAAGGUUAAUUGAUGGGGUUAGCGUAAGCGAAGCUCUUGAUCGAAGCCCCAGUAAACGGCGGCCGUAACUAUAACGGUCCUAAGGUAGCGAAAUUCCUUGUCGGGUAAGUUCCGACCUGCACGAAUGGCGUAACGAUGGCCACACUGUCUCCACCCGAGACUCAGUGAAAUUGAAAUCGCUGUUAAGAUGCAGUGUAUCCGCGGCUAGACGGAAAGACCCCGUGAACCUUUACUAUAGCUUCACAGUGAACUUUGAACCUACUUGUGUAGGAUAGGUGGGAGGCUUUGAAACGGUGACGCCAGUUAUCGUGGAGCUGCCCUUGAAAUACCACCCUGGUAUGUUUGAGGUUCUAACUCUGGCCCGUUAUCCGGGUCGAGGACACUGUGUGGUGGGUAGUUUGACUGGGGCGGUCUCCUCCCAAAGAGUAACGGAGGAGCACGAAGGUGUGCUAAUCAUGGUCGGAAAUCAUGAGGUUAGUGUAAAGGCACAAGCACGCUUGACUGCGAGACUGACAAGUCGAGCAGGUACGAAAGUAGGUCUUAGUGAUCCGGUGGUUCUGUAUGGAAGGGCCAUCGCUCAACGGAUAAAAGGUACUCCGGGGAUAACAGGCUGAUACCGCCCAAGAGUUCACAUCGACGGCGGUGUUUGGCACCUCGAUGUCGGCUCAUCACAUCCUGGGGCUGAAGCAGGUCCCAAGGGUAUGGCUGUUCGCCAUUUAAAGUGGUACGCGAGCUGGGUUUAGAACGUCGUGAGACAGUUCGGUCCCUAUCUGCCGUGGACGUAUGAGAUUUGAGAGGAGCUGCUCCUAGUACGAGAGGACCGGAGUGGACGAUCCGCUGGUGUUCCAGUUGUCUCGCCAGAGGCAUUGCUGGGUAGCUACGAUCGGACAGGAUAACCGCUGAAAGCAUCUAAGCGGGAAGCCCCCCUCAAGAUGAGAUCUCACUGAUCCUUAAGGAUCCUAAAGGGCCCUCGAAGACGACGAGGUUGAUAGGCUGGGUGUGUAAGCGUUGUAAGGCGUUGAGCUAACCAGUACUAAUUGCCCGUGAGGCUUGACCAUAUAACGCCAAAGCGGU
rnacentral:rRNA from 1 species